rnacentral:misc_RNA from 1 species
AGCUGUGCCGACGCUUCACCUCCCCACAAAAAGUGACCACUGCCUUCCGUCGGUCACUAACAAUGCCGCACAAAUGCUGAAGCCAAUGUAAAAAAGAUGAAAUUGUCAGUGAAAUAUACGACAUUGUAUA